GAGCUACUGUUUGUAUGAAAAUGUGCUAUAUAAAUAAAUGUUGUUGUUGCCCGGAAAUAUCAUGUCAGACAAUAAGCUAAUUAUGAUGUGACCCUCUUGAACUGAUAUUUCAUUACACUUUUCAGGUCUCCUCAGAAUUGACCACAAAUGAGCUCCUCAGGCUCCUCACUAAGAAAAUGGAUGGACUCACGCUUCAAGCAGAUGCAUUUGACACUUCAGCAGAUGUCCAAGGAACACUCAACUUGCCUGACAGUCCUUGAAUUAUAAUUCUUGGUCAAACUCUAAGCAACCAGCAGUGGAUGAUGAUAUAUUGACAUCAACCCUGAACAAAUGUUCAAGGCCAAUCAAGGAAAAGCUACAAUCAAGAAGACUAGCCAAGUAGUCCAUAACAAGAAGA